AACGAACGCUGGCGGCGUGCCUAACACAUGCAAGUCGAGCGCGAAUGGAGCAAUCCUAGUAGCGCGGCGCACGGGUGCGUAACACGUGGGUAAUCUGCCUGGGAGACCGGAAUAACCUGCCGAAAGGCUGGCUAAUACCGGAUAAGCCCACGGACUCUUCGGAGUCUGAGGGAAAAGGUGGCCUCUGUAUACAAGCUAUCACUUCCAGAUGAGCCCGCGGCCCANCAGCUCGUUGGCGGGGUAAAGGCCCACCAAGGCAACGACGGGUAGCUGGUCUGAGAGGACGAUCAGCCACACUGGAACUGAGACACGGUCCAGACUCCUACGGGAGGCAGCAGUGGGGAAUUUUGCACAAUGGGCGAAAGCCUGAUGCAGCAACGCCGCGUGUGUGAUGAAGGUCUUCGGAUCGU
rnacentral:rRNA from 1 species